rnacentral:rRNA from 1 species
UACCAGCACCCCGAGUGGUCGGGACGAUUAUUGGGCCUAAAGCAUCCGUAGCCGGUCAUGCAAGUCUUCCGUUAAAUCCAGCCGCUCAACGGUUGGGCUGCGGAGGAUACUACGUGGCUAGGAGGCGGGAGAGGCAAGCUGUACUCAGUGGGUAGGGGUAAAAUCCUUUGAUCCAUUGAAGACCACCAGUGGCGAAGGCGGCUUGCCAGAACGCGCUCGACGGUGAGGGAUGAAAGCUGGGGGAGCAAACCGG